GGUUGUAUAGUGUAGUGGUUAUCACAUCGGAUUCUGAGUCCUGCAAGGUAUCAGAAAUUUCCGGGGACCGCGGUUCAAUUCCGCGUACGACCU